UUCCCAAACGCUAAGCUGAAAGCUCAAAGCUGGAUAGUGGAUUAAAAGAAAGGGUGAUGUGGAGUAGAAGUACCCGAAUUUUUAUCACAACACCAGUAACAAUAUAUUGCUGAUUGAUUCGAGAAAUAAUACUAUGAGCAGCUGCCUGGUGUCAAUUAUAUUACAGGAGCAGUAAAGCACUAUGUAAUAAAAAGGAAAUAUUGUCGUGUGAGAAAGACCUCUUCAUAAGGUAGGAGCGGGAUUCUGAUGGAGGAACCAGCGAAACGAUUAUGUUUUUGGCGUUUUUCUGCAAAGCAAUUACUUCGGAACUUGGCACAUAAAAUUAUUUGCAAUCCGAAGAUUUUCGUCGAUGACCUUAUUGUAAAUGAGAAAGUGCUCAGGUAUGACGAUUUGCGAUCCAAAUGUCGAUGAGACAGUAAGACAAUAUUACCACAACUUGUUGGACGACAGUUGUAAUAAAUGCUGAAAAGACUGGCAUGAUAAGAACUCCAGGAAGGACUCCUACUGUUUCACGUUGGCCUUGCAAAAUUACAAGAAGCCGUCUUCUUUGGAAGUAGAGGAAUAAUGUGUGGCUCUAGAAUGUGUAGGCCCUGCUAAAUCCAUUUUUGGCAAGGAGGAAGAGCACUGAAGAGCUUUGUUCCAGUGUAGUGGACACCCUUUUCCACCAAGCUCAGAUUUCUAGGCACGCUGUAUCCUGUGAAGCUUUUGAUGCUCUUUUGAAGCCUCAGAGAUGUCAGGAUGAUUAAGCCUUGAGGAGAGAGCCAAAAUUCCAGUUAAAAAUUUCCACAGAAAAUUAAUGACUACCAGAAGUGUUGUGGACAUGAAAAGAUUAGGGAUGUCCUCAACUUUGGUAUCAGAGGAGAAGGUGGCCACAAUGAGGUGAAAGUUCAAGCAAAACUCUUCAAAAUCAAUAAGGCAAGCUGCAAGAGGAAGUAGCAUUUCACCCUGUUUGUAUGUGCAAUUCUUCACAAGGUUCUUUAGGAAGGUAGUAGUAAAUGUACCUGUUCGUUUAAGAUAGUGUCUAGAAAAUACUGAAGCAUAUAUUGAGUUGUAACUUUUGGAAUGAUAAUGACAUAUAAUAAACUAUA